rnacentral:rRNA from 1 species
AGCAGCCGCGGUAAUUCCAGCUCCAAUAGCGUAUAUUAAAGUUGUUGCAGUUAAAAAGCUCGUAGUUGAAUUUCGGGACCAAUCAGCCGGUCGUGCCUCCGGUACGCACUGGUUUUAUUGAUUUCUCCCUUCUGACGAACCAUGAUGUCAUUAAUUUGGUGUCAUGGGGAAUCAGGACUGUCACUUUGAAAAAAUUAGAGUGUUUAAAGCAAGCUAACGCUUGAAUACAUUAGCAUGGAAUAAUGAAAUAGGACGUUCGAUCCUAUUUUGUUGGUUUCUAGGAUUGACGUAAUGAUUAAUAGGGAUAGUUGGGGGCAUUAGUAUUCAAUUGUCAGAGGUGAAAUUCUUGGAUUUAUUGAAGACUAACUACUGCGAAAGCAUUUGCCAAGGAUGUUUUCAUUAAUCAAGAACGAAAGUUAGGGGAUCGAAGACGAUCAGAUACCGUCGUAGUCUUAACCAUAAACUAUGCCGACUAGGGAUCGGAUGAUGUUAAUUUUUUAAUGACUCAUUCGGCGCCUUA